AUACUUACCUGGCAGAGGGAGAUACCAUGAUCACGAAGGUGGUUUUCCCAGGGCGAGGCUUAUCCUUUGCACUCCGGGAUGUGCUGACCCCUGCGAUGUCCCCAAAUGUGGGAAAACUCGACUGCAUAAUUUGUGGUAGUGGGGGGACUGCGUUUGCGCUCUCCCCUG
rnacentral:snRNA from 1 species